rnacentral:lncRNA from 1 species
UGGGAAGAGGGGAUUGCACUCAUUUUGACUCAUUCAUUCUGGAAAGUAUCAUAAAGUGUGUGUCUCCUUCAAUGCUCUAUUUAGAUGCUGUCACAGAAUGAGUAAGUUGCGGCUGCGAUCUGCAUUCACAGAGCUCAAGGUGUAAGAGGGAAGACGAAUGCGCUUUCUUGCAUGGAUCUUAUUAGUCUCCUAUGCACCGAGUGCCUUUUACCUGGAAAGGAGCCUGGAACUGCAGGAUGAGUGGUCUCUCGAAUCCAGGCUCAUUUCUUCAGCUGACCGUUGUCGUCUCGUCUGGAGAACCACACUCAUCCUAAAUGGCCUCAUGGCUCCAGUCUUUCUUCUACAGGAGCCAGUCUGCCUUCCAUACCACUAACAAAGUAAUGGAAAGAACAUCAGCUCCUGUCACCCUUCCCCUUCACUGAAAGCUUCUCAUUGGCUUUCUGCUGCCUGGAGUGUAAAUUCUGAAUGCCUUAGCUCAUCAUAGGAGGCCUUGUAGAGUCUGCUUCAUGCCUGCUGCCCUAGUCUUAUUGCUUAUCAGCCUGCCCCCCGGCCCCCAUACAGCCUAAGCUCCAGCCACAGUGAUGUCCUCACCAUUGCCUCAUGCUCUGGUCUUCCGGGAUUCCAGCCUCAACAUGCACGUCUUCAUCACAUUUGUCCAGCUGGUAAGCUUCCCCUCACACAUUAAAGGUGUAGAACGCAGAUGCAGUCUUGCCCCAUUUGGCCUGGCACUUCUUCAUUCCUGUAACAGAUGAUAUUAGCGGGUUUUCUGCCUGCAUGUGUCCUGUCCAUCAGACUCUGAGUUCCUUGAAGGAGGGGGUUGUGUCUCACCAGACCUUAUAUCCCAGGGACCUAGCAAGAUCCCUGGUAUAGAGUGGCAUGCUGACAAAUUCUCCUCGAAUGAACAGAUCCAUGAGAGAGAAAUGGGUUGUGCCUGAUUUAAGGCCUUAGGUCCUUAAUACCCCCUUAUAUUCCUUGUUUAAAGGAGCUCCAUGACAAAGUCAUUCCAUGGAUGUUUCCAGAAUGGGUAUGUGACCACCUCUGGUGCAUACCUCAUUUAAUAUCUGGAAGCAAUCGCUACUGAUGCUUUGAAUAUAGCUACAAAAAGCCAAGUUCAGUGUAAGAGGAUUGCUUCUUAAGCACAGAACCUCUGUCCCUGGUUUCUCUCGGCUUCCUUGUUGUCAGUGGCCGGGUCAGACCUCUCCAUACAGAACCACUCACAGUCUUCAUUUUCCCUAUUAUUAUUUUUCUCUGGCUUCGAAGAAGUACAGCAGUGCUGUUUGGGUGAUUGUUGCUCUGUGAUGCCAAGCUGUUUUAGAAAAAUGUCAUGAUGCCUGGUCACACCUACUACCGCAGAGACAAGCCCAGAAGUUAAA